rnacentral:rRNA from 1 species
UUAACAAAACUAACAGCUCUUUCAAGAUUAUGUGGUAGGUGGUGCAUGGCCGUUCUUAGUUCGUGAAGUGAUUCGUUCGCCCAAUCGCAUUUCCAAACAACUAACAACUCAGAAUGCUGGGCAAUAGGACGUUUAAAGUGGCUCCUUACACCUUACAAAGGAAUGGCUGAUGAGAAACAACUCGAUCCGCUCAGCGUUCUAUUGGAAUGCAACGGACGUGAUUGCAAGCUUUUGUUUUGAGUUGCGGUUUUACUGAAAGACUCUACAAUCCGCAAACUUCAAUGAUCUGAAGUAGAAAACCUACAUGCUACAGUGAGAUAUUG